rnacentral:tRNA from 1 species
AUUGGGAUGACCGAUAAUAGGUAAUAAACUGUAAAUUUAUUUAUGAAAUUUUUUUCUCCUAAUA